GAUGAACGCUAGCGGCAGGCCUAAUACAUGCAAGUCGAACGGGAUCCAGAUCAAAGCUUGCUUUGGUCUGGUGAGAGUGGCGCACGGGUGCGUAACGCGUGAGCAACCUACCCUUGUCAGGGGGAUAGCCCGGCGAAAGUCGGAUUAAUACCGCAUGACAUCAUUGAGAGGCAUCUUUCGAUGAUCAAAGAUUUAUCGGACAAGGAUGGGCUCGCGUGACAUUAGCUCGUUGGUAAGGUAACGGCUUACCAAGGCUGCGAUGUCUAGGGGCUCUGAGAGGAGAAUCCCCCACACUGGUACUGAGACACGGACCAGACUCCUACGGGAGGCAGCAGUAAGGAAUAUUGAUCAAUGGACGGAAGUCUGAACCAGCCAUGCCGCGUGCAGGAGGACGGCCCUAUGGGUUGUAAACUGCUUUUAUACGGGAACAAACGUCGGUACGUGUACCGGUCUGAGUGUACCGUAAGAAUAAGGAUCGGCUAACUCCGUG
rnacentral:rRNA from 1 species